UACGUAGGCUGCGAGCGUUGUUCGGAGUUACUGGGCGUAAAGAGUGCGUAGGCGGUUUUCUAAGUUUGGUGUGAAAUCUCCCGGCUCAACUGGGAGGGUGCGCCGAAGACUGGAAGGCUUGAGUAUGGGAGAGGUAAGCGGAAUUCCUGGUGUAGCGGUGAAAUGCGUAGAUAUCAGGAAGAACACCCGUGGCGAAGGCGGCUCUCUGGGACGGUACUGACGCUGAGACGCGAAAGCGUGGGGAGCGAACAGG
rnacentral:rRNA from 1 species